rnacentral:snRNA from 1 species
UUUUGUUGAUAUUAUCUAUAUU